UAGAUUUAAGGAGGAGGGCCGUAGGUGCUUUGGAGAAUGCCUAUUUUUUUUUUGUUAAUAUGAUCGAUGCAUUCUGUUCAAGCUUUAUAGUCAAAACAAAACUGAAUAUCUUCUUCUUCCAGAAAAAGAAAAGUAGUCGCACUUGUUUGCCGAAAAAUCUUCUUGUCAACGAAAAUGUGACCUGAGGGUCAACGAUUAAUUACAGGAUGACCUAACUUGGUGAUUUCAUGAUUUCCAAUAUGCACAAGGUAGCUCCUAUUUUGCCUUCUAUUCUUUCUAGGUGCACAUUUUUCUUUCACAUGUGAACAAUUGCCAUUGUUGUGUGUGUAAUAUUGCACUAUCUAUGUGGUUAACUAGUUAUAGCUACUAUUAUUCUUCUUGAAUCAUGACUACUUUUGUGUGAUAGAACUGUCCAGAUGCAUCGAGGGAUACUAUUUGAUCAUACGGCUAUUUUCUUAUUUGAACAUACGCUAGUCUAUUUGAAAAUCCCAAAGGUUUAUAGGAUUGAUAUCUAAUAUGAUUCUGCAUUUGCUUGUUAGCCUAAGUUUAUCCGAACUUUAUAUGUAAAUAUUUGUAUUGCCUAAUUUCGCCAGUAGUUGCCAAUCUCACCUAUGAACAGAAUCUGCACCAGAGUGUUUUUUUGUACAAGAUAAAUAAUGUUUUAUAAUCUGUUCCAUUAUUAGAGUUAGGAUGAUCCACAAAAUAGCUAGCAGUUCUGCCAGUUCCAGCAUAGAAGCAUACCUCAGGUUGUGUUUUGGGAUGAAUUUGAUUCAUCUCUAUUUUUUCUUCCAUGUGGUAUGUGCAGCACACAGCGAGAUAGCAUUGUUGAUGCAUAUUUAUUUGAUUAGAUCAUGGGCAAUAAGUGCUUGGCACUUGUACACACAUGUGCUAAUUGAAUCUUAUUUGUUAUUAGGUUUGAUCUCUCCCAGCACAAGAAGCUUGAUGAGCAAUAAGCAGUAGUAAUGGAGGCAGAUGCAAUAGCUUUUCUGUUGUGUGCCGUCAAGUAGCAAAAGUUGAUGCAAUGCGAUUAUUUUGGUCCUUCAUAAUUAGUUUUGCAUGAGAUGUACCGAAAAUGAUCCUCGCUUGCUAUAUUACACUUGAUAAGUUAUGUAUGUGUGUCUCUUCUGUUGUGUUUGGUCGGGGAUCGUGCAAUUUGAAAUGUAUGUUUAGUUAUGAUUUCAAGUGGAUAGAUUAAUGUUCUCAUGUACUCUAAUAUUGGUGAUGAUCUUCACAUACUUUUAGUGACCAGCAUGCUCAAAUGUAUGGAUUUCUUGCAUGGUCCUUGAUGUAGUAGAAGCUACUAAUGAAAUCAAAUAUACAUGGAAUCUCGUACAGUACAUAUGUAUGUGCGGUUUUGUGUAAAUCUAAUAGGAGAGGGGCACUCGUACAUGUUUGAAUUUUUUUCUUAUUUAUGAAGCACAACUUGAUUGAUAUCUGAGAGAUCUGAGGAUAUAUGAGAGAUCUGAGGUGGUUACUGUAAGGACAACUUGAUUGAUGUAUGAGAGAUUUGAGGUGGUUACUGUAAGGACAACUUGAUUGAUAUAUGAGAGAUUUGAGGUGGUUACUGUAAAAGUUAUGUUCUAUAUGUAAAUAGUACUGGAGGGUUUUCAAGAAAUAUACACUGAGAACCCUCCAUCUAAAUCUAUACCAGUCAUCUUCC
rnacentral:lncRNA from 1 species